rnacentral:lncRNA from 15 species
CCAAGUUUCCUCGAGCUUCAAAAACAUCUCGGUAAGAUGUAUCCUAAAAUAAUGUUGAUGGUUGAAUGUAGUUUUAUUUUAUUAUUAUAGGAUCUAGUUUGUGGUCUGGUGAACUAUAUUGCGUUAUACACAGAGGUGUCUUUAUUUAGCAUGGCCUCAUUGAUAUAAAUGGGAUGGAAAAAAUAAUAGAAACACCUCAGUAUAACGUGAUACAAUUCAAGAGCAGCACAGUCACAGGGAAAAACUGCUAGCUUUGCUGCAAUGGAUGCAUUAUGUUUUCCUCUUAAAACAAAAGUUGAAAAACCUACAUUUAUCUAUAUACAUUUAUGUGUUUGUAUGUCUGCAGGUGUUUGCUGAGUUCCAUCGCAUCACAAAUGUGAAGCUACGUAAUCAGUUCUACUGUGAGCUUGACAGAUACACACCUCAACUGAUUGCCCUGUACAGAGAGACGGACAGGCAAGACAGCAGAGGCACUCCGAGAGAUCUUCAGGAUUUAUGACCGCCAUGAACAACAUGAUGUAAACAUGAGACGCAGUCUGGCCCUUCGUGCCCUUCCGGUGUACCUAAGAGAGGAUGACUCUGAGUUCUUCAAGACCUGGAAUCAAGAAGAUGAGCCAGAUGUUGCUGACACUCCUGUGGGUCUCCUUACUGUAGUCACUGACAACACAACUCAUUGCAGCCCCAAGAGCAUUUCUGUGGACAUCGAAGAUGAAAUUGUUGUGAGUGAUCUCCCUAGGUUGACUGUUGUGAAGUUUUUAGAUAACUGUUCAGGAAUCAGUGUUCUUAACUCCUGCUUUUAAAAUAAUUCAGGCUGUGUCAUUUUGUUUUAUUUUCUCAUCUUAAUGGCAUUACUAGAGAUUUAGAAGAAAUCUCUAGCAAUGCCAACCAAUGCUAACACUAUUGCCCAGCCCAAGUUUUUGUACUGAAUAACUUGUGGGAAACGACUGUUCAAUUCAUGCACUAUACAUGUUUAAUGUUCUGUUGCCUAAUGCCUACCUUGAUGCACUACCUUGAUGUUGCCAGUUGAAGUACGGCACAGUAGAAACCAGUACUUUAUUUGAAUGUUUUAUUUAAAAAAAAGUGAGUUGCAGCCUUCAAGGUACAGUAAGUGCCAAAACGUUUUUAAACAGUGUUAAAUGGCUCCACAUUCUAAUAGUUGUCAUUGCUGUUGAGGAUGGAUUAUACUUAGAAUCUUAUUGAAUUUUAUCAUGAAUCCUUUGUGAGUUUUUAUCAAAAUGUUAACUGAAUAAUAUGAGAUGGAGACCCAAAAUACUGAAUCUACCCUCUGUAGCAAUGACCGCUAUCAGAAUAUGGAACUAUUAAGACUUAAUGUAUUUUAAAACACAUUUUGUUUUUCUGGAGUCAUUUCCUUUUCCUUUUGUUUUAAUUUAUGACAAGCACUUUGUUUUGACUGAGCUCCUUUGAUUCGUGACUUUUAAAAAGCACAUUGUGUUGAAUAAAAAAAGUUGUUAAAUUGUCACUGUGGUGUCACUUUCAUGUUUUAUAACAUUAUUAGCUGAUUAUAAUUGUGUAGUGGGCCGACAUCAGUAUUUCAGUUUAUUUGAGUUUAAAAUUAUUGAAAAUUUUGAGUGUAUUUCCCACAUUAAAUGAGUUGAAGAAUAUUGAAAAUUUUGAGUGUAUUUCCCACAUUAUAUGAGUUGAAAAAUAUUGGAAAUUUUGAGUGUAUUACUCCCUAAUUAUAAGUUGAGGAAUAUCAAUAUUUAUAAGAUAACAUUGAGAUAAUUUAAGGCAACUAAAUGUAAUUUUUAUUCUAUGUAAACUUAAAACAUUUAAAAACAUCACUAAAAUAUUGUUGUGUAAUCUGUUACAAAAUAAUUUUUGAGUUCUGUGAACUUAUUAGGGUUUACAGUGUACUGCAUCAAAGCAAUCAAGAAAAACUGUAAUAGACAAAGUACACUACAGUGCGCAUGCUCAUAAUAAAGGAACGUGUCAGGAACAAGCUGCAUCAACGAGGUGGUGUCCAGAAAACAAUGUGGGCUUCAUUGAUAAUUGGCAACCUUUUUGGGGAAAACCUGGUCUGAUUAGGAGAGACGGCAUCCAUCCCACUUUUGACGGAGCGGCUCUCUUAUCUAGCAACAUGGCGAAGUUUAUUUCUAAAACCUGACAGUCCAGAGUUGGGACCAGGAAGCAGAGCUGCUGUCUUACACACUUCUCUGCGCUUUCUUUAGAACAGUCACCCACCCAAAACCCCAUAGAGUGUCUGUCCCCCGACCACCUAAAUUAUUUAAAGAAAUAAAAACAAGAGGAGUUCAACAUAAAAAUCUAAUAAAAAUUAAAACUAACUCCUCAGUAGCACAAAAUAAGAGAAUGAAAUGUAGGCUGUUAAAUAUCAGGUCUCUGUCCUCUAAAGCUGUUUUAGUGAAUGAAUUAAUAUCAGAUUAUGACAUUGAUUUACUUUGUCUUACUGAGACCUGGUUGUCCCACGAGGAGUAUGUUAGCCUAAAUGAAUCCCCCCCCCCAGUCAUAUUAAUACUCACAUUCCUCGAGGCACUGGCCGAGGAGGUGGAGUGGCAGCCA